GUGGUUUAAUUCGAUGCAACGCGAAAAACCUUACCCACCUUUGACAUGUACGGAAGCCUUUAGAGAUAGAGGCGUGCUCGAAAGAGAGCCGUAACACAGGUGCUGCAUGGCUGUCGUCAGCUCGUGUCGUGAGAUGUUGGGUUAAGUCCCGCAACGAGCGCAACCCUUGUCAUUAGUUGCUACAUUCAGUUGGGCACUCUAAUGAGACUGCCGGUGACAAGCCGGAGGAAGGUGGGGAUGACGUCAAGUCCUCAUGGCCCUUAUAGGUGGGGCUACACACGUCAUACAAUGGCUGGUACAAAGGGUUGCCAACCCGCGAGGGGGAGCUAAUCCCAUAAAGCCAGUCGUAGUCCGGAUCGUAGUCUGCAACUCGACUACGUGAAGUCGGAAUCGCUAGUAAUCGUGGAUCAGAAUGUCACGGUGAAUACGUUCCCGGGUCUU
rnacentral:rRNA from 1 species